rnacentral:rRNA from 1 species
GACGAACGCUGGCGGCGUGCCUAAUACAUGCAAGUAGGACGCAGAUGCGAAAGGAUGAGUAACGCGUCGGUAACUGCCUAUUAGUGGGGGCUAACUAUUGGAAACGAUAGCUAAUACCGCAUACUAGUAGAUGGACCUGCGUUGUAUUAGCUAGUCGGGAGGGUAAUGGCCUACCUAGGCGACUAUACAUAACCGAGCUGGGGAGGUGAUCGGCCACACUGGUACUUGGGACCGGCCCAGACUCCUACGGGAGGCAGCAGUAGGGAAUCUUCGGCAAUGGGGUGAACCAUGACCGAGGCACGCCGGGUGAGUUAAGGAGGUUUUCGGGUCGGAAAGCUCUGUUGUGAAGGGAGCGGUACCUAACCAGAAAGGGACGGCUAACUACGUGCCAGCAGCCGCGGUAAUAC